ACGAACAGACGGAAACGAACUGCUAAUACCGAAUAAGUUCCAAGAGCCGCAUGGCCCAUGGAAGAAAAAGGUGGCCUCUACCUGUAAGCUAUCGCCUGAAGAGGGGUUUGCGUCUGAUUAGCUGGUUGGAGGGGUAACGGCCCACCAAGGCGACGAUCAGUAGCCGGUCUGAGAGGAUGAACGGCCACACUGGAACUGAGACACGGUCCAGACUCCUACGGGAGGCAGCAUG
rnacentral:rRNA from 1 species